UUUAAAUGGCCGCAGUAUUCUAACUGUGCAAAGGUAGCAUAAUCAUUAGUCUUUUAAUUGAAGGCUGGAAUGAAUGGUUGGACGAAAUAUUAACUGUUUCAUUUAAAUUUUUUAUAGAAUUUUAUUUUUUAGUCAAAAAGCUAAAAUAAAUUUAAAAGACGAGAAGACCCUAUAAAUCUUUAUAUUUUGUUUAUUUUAAUUAUAAAGAUUAUUUUUAUUAUAAUAAAUUAAAAUAUUUUAUUGGGGUGAUAUUAAAAUUUAAAAAACUUUUAAUUUUUAAAACCAUUAAUUUAUGAAUAAUUGAUCCAUUAAUAAUGAUUAAAAAUUUAAGUUACUUUAGGGAUAACAGCGUAAUUUUUUUGGAGAGUUCAUAUCGAUAAAAAAGAUUGCGACCUCGAUGUUGGAUUAAGAUAUAAUUUUGGGUGUAGCCGUUCAAAUUUUAAGUCUGUUCGACUUUUAAAUUCUU
rnacentral:rRNA from 1 species